AUCAGGAUGGUACGACAGGAGGAUAGGACAGGAGAGGAGAAAACAGCACAAGAGAGAAGGAGAGAGACACAGAGGGUGAGAGGGAAAGGUUGAGGACUGCUACAACAGGAGAGGACAGCAGCACAGGGUAGAAGGAAGGAAGGAGGGAGGAGGAGAGGAGAGGAGAGGAGAGGAGAGGAGAGGAGAGGAGAGGAGAGAAAGAAGAGAGAGAGGAGAGAAAGAAGAGAGAGGAGAGAGAGAGGGAGAGGAGAGAGAGAGAGGUUGAGGAUUGGAUCUAGAUCUGGUCGGGGUGUUCUAAGUGAAGUUGAGGGUCUAGGAGCGGUUUGGUGACUGUGUCAGAUUGUGGUGAUUUAGUUUGGCGUGGUGGCACUAAGUGUGGUGGAGACAUUCUGGUAGAGCAGAGGAGACAUUCUGGUAGAGGAGGUCUGUGGGUUCAAUGGAACUGUUACCGUUCAGCUUUUCAGAAAAGUGGAGUGACUGUCUGCGUGGCCUUCUUCCUAAGACCGGCCUGUGUUCGCCGGUACUUUGACACACAAACACACACACUACGAGUGGAGACGAGGAGGAUUCUGGGAUGUGGACGAGACAGUGAAUCGCAGAAAAAGGUAAGGGAAAAGAGGACGUUUCUGAACUCAGACAUCAUUACAAUUCCAACAGCCGCUUUCUCUACCAUCUUUCUCCCUACUUUUCCCUCUCUCCUCCUCCUCCUCCUUCCCACUCUCACCCAUCUCUUCUCUUUCCCCCUCUCUUUCACUCCUUCCCUCUCUUUCUCUCGUUUUCCCUCUCGUCCUAAAGCAGCACGCCUUGCUGUGGCUGGUCAAACGGAACCAAGUCAGGUGUUUCAGUGAGGUUUGGUCCCCUUCAACCAGCUACUGCGUCGUGAACUCAGUCAGCAGACAGACAGACACCCGCAGCGGGAACGAAACACAGGGUAGCCCUACUGCUGCAUGUUUUUGUGUCUCCAUAAAUCAGAUGUCAAUGUGUUUUUGUGUCUCCAUAAAUCAGAUGUCAAUGUGUUUUUGUGUCUCCAUAAAUCAGGUGUCAAUGUGUUUUUGUGUCUCCAUAAAUCAGGUGUCAAUGUGUUUUUGUGUCUCCAUAAAUCAGAUGUCAAUGUGUUUUUGUGUCUCCAUAAAUCAGAUGUCAAUGUGUUUUUGUGUCUCCAUAAAUCAGGUGUCAAUGUGUUUUUGUGUCUCCAUAAAUCAGAUGUUAAAUAGACAACAUUUUGCACACUGUGGAUUCCCUUUUCAUACUGUAUGUUUCGGUCUUGUUUAUUGUUGUGCUUGAAAAAUAAAGAAUUAAAAGAUGUGA